CUGCCACAACCAUAUUCAUCGGGAUAGAGAUGGCAAUGAGUUUCUAGUCUACCUGCCACCAAGAAGAGAGAUACAAAAACGCAACAGCCGGUAUGGAACCUGUAAGAGAACUGCAUACUGCAGUAGAUCACGCCAAGGCGAUAUAAAUGCCACUAGAGGUCGCAAAGGUAGAACAAAAUGAAACUAAGUCCAUCGGUACAUCACCA
rnacentral:lncRNA from 1 species